CUUUAAAAUACCUUUAUUUAAAGAGAUUAGCUCAGGUGGGAGCCCAACAGGCUGUGCACACGCUGCCGCUGCUUCCCGGAUGGAUGCUCAGGAGGAGGAAAUGCUGCUUUGUCUGCUUUAUGUGCAGGCAGAGCCAGAAGAUCUGUCCUCGCAGGAGCGGCAGGAUUCUUCCCCUUUCAACAGUCUGUGCUAUGGUCCCAGGUCCUUACUCUAUUUGAGGUCUCUGGUUAGAGUGACAGAUUAAAACUUCUCUCCGGGUACUAGAAUUAGUUGCUCACCCUUCUGCAAGCGCCUCGGUCUUAUAAUUCUGCAAAGGCUCAUAGUUCUAGGGCUUUCUAGUGUGGUUUUUGAGGAGUUCCUGUAUUUGCAUACUUUUUCUGAUGUCAUCUCCUCUGCACAGGCCCGGGCGCCAUUUUCCAGGAAGUAGCAGCUGGCAGCACAGUGAAGCUGAACCUAACACAGAAGGAUCUCCAACAAGGAAUGAACACAGAUCCUUCAUGUUACACAUCACAACAGGAAGACAGAAAGCACUUCAUCUGGGAGGAAAGUGUCUGAAGAGAGCAAGGGCCACAACACUGCUGAGAGGUUAUGACUGUAGCCAGCUGAAGUUUUCUCAUGUUGGCUACUAGUAUCACAAGAUGCAGCAAAGAAAGAAGACAAUCAUCUCCAAAGGACGAUGCCCUGACAACAGCAACAUUUGACAAAACUCAGUGCUUUUCAUAAUUCAGUCAGCUGUCUGUGCUGAAUACCUGUUGAUAAACAACCAAGAUAUCUAUGUCCUUACAAUCGGUUAGUUAUAACCGAAACUUUGGAAAAGGAAGAAAAAGUUAUUAAUGUGAACAAUUGACUAACAAUUAUGUGGUUUUAGUUUGUGAUUUUCAGAAACCUGGAGUUUUCAUAAUACAAUGUAAAGGGUGUCAAAUGGUCAUAAUUUACAAAAAUGAAUUUGUAUAUACCAUGUAGCAACCCACAAGGAUGUACUUUCUAAAGGGUUUGUGAGUUCCUUCGAAAUUAUAAAAAAAGUGAAAAGCACUGGCUAGAUAAACCCACUGCUUUCAGUAAUUCAUAUUACAAUAUAUUUACAUAGUUAUAUUUCUGUCACAGAGCAAACAUGGAAAAUAUCCAACAAAUUCUGUUUGUUUAAUAACAAUUAAAUGCCUCAUUGACAGCAAGGAUGAAGAAUUAGCAGGUCAUGGAGCCAACAGGUUGUUACAUUUUAUUGUGGUCAAUCAGAUUAUUGAAGACCAUAAAAGAGAGCCUGUUUUGAUGUACAGACACAUGUACCAAGCUACUAAAUGUGUGGAUUUAUAUGGUCAUUGACACUUUUGGUUGGUCUGUCUGAAGCAGGAUUUGACAAACUUGUCUUUACAAACUCAGUUCCAAAAGUUACAUUAAGUUCCCUUUAUUAAAAAAUUUCCUGUUUUACCUACAACUUCAGUCCAUAUGUGGCAGCACCAAAAAAAAAUCUGGAAACAUACAAUCUGUGAAAUAAAAAAAUGUAUUAAACUUUACUAUUCCUCUCCCUUAAGGAAUCUUAUUGGGUUAUUUGGAAAUUAACAGAUGUCUUUAUUUGAUCUCCUUUGGACAGAGAAGGGCUAUGGAUGUCAUUCAUCUGGAUUUCUGUAGGCCUUUUGAUAUGGUCCCUCAAAACAUCCUUCUCUCCAUAUUGGGGGGAAAAGGAUUCAAUGCGUGGACCAUGGUGGAUAAGGAAUUGCCUAGAUGGUUGCAUCCAGAGACUGGUGUUCAACAGCUCAGUGUCCAGAGAUGAGUGGCGUCCCUCAGGGGUCCAUACAGGAGCAAGUUCUGUUUAGCAUCCUCACUGAUGAUAUAAUGGUAUUGAGUGCACCCUCUGCAAAUUUGCAGAUGACACCAAGUUGAGUGGAAUGGCCUGCCAGGGGAAGUGGUGGAGUCACCAUCCCUGGAUGUGUUUAAAAAAAGACUGGAUGUGGCACACAGUGCCGUGGUUUAGUUGAGGUGUUAGGGCAUGGAUUGAACUCGAUGAUCUUUAUGGUCUCUUCCAACCUAGUCAUUCUGUGAAUUCUGUGUGAGUGGUACUGUUGGCACUCCUCAAGAAUGGGGCGCCAUCCAGUGGGAUCUGGACAAACUGGGGGACUGUUCCCAUGGGAAUUUCCUGAGGUUUAACAAGACCAAGUUCAAGGUGCUGCAUCUGGGUCAAGGCAACCCCCACUAUCAACACAGGACCAGAGAUGAACAGAUCAAGUGCAGCCCUGUGAGAAAGACUUGGAGGUGAAAUGUAAAAGCUUCAACAUUAAUUCUCAUUGUUAGAUGUGCUGUACAUAUCAUACACGAGCAAUCCUUACCUUUACAACUGCUCAGUAAUCUGCAGAGACACAAAAGCUUUCAUCAUUAUUAUGCAGCUACAGUACAUCAGUUAAAAAAAUCUCCAGUAGAAAUA
ensembl:lncRNA